ACAGUGGACGCGAGCAUCUUGUUUUCUGUAGGUUAAGUUGUCAAGGGCGAACGGUGGAUGCCUUGGCACCAGGAGCCGAUGAAGGACGUGGGAGGCCGCGAUAGGCCUGGGGGAGCUGUCAACCAAGCUGUGAUCCCAGGGUGUCCGAAUGGGGAAACCUGACAUCAGUCAUGUGGUGUCACCUGCAUCUGAAUUCAUAGGGUGUAUGGGGGGAACGCGGGGAAGUGAAACAUCUCAGUACCCGUAGGAAGAGAAAACAACAGUGAUUCCGUGAGUAGUGGCGAGCGAAAGCGGAUCUAGCCUAAACUUGUGGCGUGUGAUACCUGUCAGGGGUUACGUCAUGGGGGUUGUGGGACCCACUUAUCAUAUCUGACAGUGUGGUGAGGAGUUAUAAAGUCGCAUGUUAGUCGAACGACGUGGGAAAGUCGGCCGUAGACGGUGAGAGCCCGGUAGACGAAAAUGUGUGACCUCCUUGUGGUGUUCCCGAGUAGCGGCGGACUCCUGUAAUCUGCCGUGAAUCUGCCAGGACCACCUGGUAAGGCUGAAUACUUCCUGGUGACCGAUAGCGGACAAGUACCGUGAGGGAAUGGUGAAAAGUACCCCGGGAGGGGAGUGAAAUAGUACCUGAAACCGUUCGCCUACAAUCCGUCAGAGCCUCCUUGUUGGGGUGAUGGCGUGCCUUUUGAAGAAUGAGCCUGCGAGUUAGUGGCAUGUGGCGAGGUUAACCCGUGUGGGGUAGCCGUAGCGAAAGCGAGUCUGAAGAGGGCGUUUGAGUCGCAUGUUCUAGACCCGAAGCGGAGUGAUCUAGCCAUGGGCAGGUUGAAGCGUGGGUAAGACUGCGUGGAGGACCGAACCCACCAACGUUGAAAAGUUGGGGGAUGACCUGUGGUUAGGGGUGAAAGGCCAAUCAAACUCCGUGAUAGCUGGUUCUCCCCGAAAUGCAUUUAGGUGCAGCGUCGCGUGUUUCUUGCCGGAGGUAGAGCACUGGAUGGUCUAGGGGGCCUACAAGCUUACCGAAAUCAGCCAAACUCCGAAUGCCGGUAAGUGAGAGCGCGGCAGUGAGACUGCGGGGGAUAAGCUUCGUAGUCGAGAGGGAAACAGCCCAGAUCACCAGCUAAGGCCCCUAAGCGUGUGCUAAGUGGAAAAGGAUGUGGGAUCGCUUAGACAACCAGGAGGUUGGCUUAGAAGCAGCCAUCCUUUAAAGAGUGCGUAAUAGCUCACUGGUCAAGUGGUUCCGCGCCGACAAUGUAGCGGGGCUCAAGCACACCGCCGAAGCUGUGGGACUCACACAAUAACCCCGUUGGCCGGUUUACCGGUUGAUGCAGGUGUGUGGGUCGGUAGGGGAGCGUCGUGCUACCGGUGAAGCGGCAGGGUGACCUAGCCGUGGAGGUUGCACGAGUGAGAAUGCAGGCAUGAGUAGCGAAUGAAGGGUGAGAAACCCUUCCGCCGGAUGACCAAGGGUUCCAGGGCCAGGCUAAUCCGCCCUGGGUGAGUCGGGGCCUAAGGCGAGGCCGAGAGGCGUAGUCGAUGGAUAACGGGUUGAUAUUCCCGUACCCGCGAAGGAGCGCCCAAGACGAACCUUACUAUGCUAACCACGCGAAGUGCCGGCGGUCUUCGGACCAAGGGUAUGGAGUCUGGGAUCCUGGUGGGUAGUAGUUUAGCGAUGGGGUGACGCAGGAAGGUAGCUGAUCCCGGCCGGUGGUUGUGCCGGGGUAAGCGUGUAGGCCGUGCCAUAGGCAAAUCCGUGGCGCAUAUAGGCUGAGACGUGAUGCCGAGCCGAUUCAGGUGAAGUCAGUGAUCCUAUGCUGCCGAGAAAAGCCUCUAGCGAUGUUCCGAGCGGCCCGUACCCCAAACCGACACAGGUGGUCAGGUAGAGAAUACCGAGGCGACGGGCGAACUGUGGUUAAGGAACUCGGCAAAUUGCCCCCGUAACUUAGGGAGAAGGGGGGCCGGACGCGUGAAGCCCCUUGCGGGUGGAGCGUGGUAUGGCCGCAGAGAGCAGGGGGAAGCGACUGUUUACUAAAAACACAGGUCCAUGCCAAGUCGUAAGACGAUGUAUAUGGACUGACGCCUGCCCGGUGCUGGAACGUUAAGGGGACCUGUUAGCCCG
rnacentral:rRNA from 1 species